AGUGAACGCUGGCGGUAGGCCUAACACAUGCAAGUCGAACGGCAGCACAGUAAGAGCUUGCUCUUACGGGUGGCGAGUGGCGGACGGGUGAGGAAUACAUCGGAAUCUACUUUUUCGUGGGGGAUAACGUAGGGAAACUUACGCUAAUACCGCAUACGACCUACGGGUGAAAGCAGGGGAUCUUCGGACCUUGCGCGAUUGAAUGAGCCGAUGUCGGAUUAGCUAGUUGGCGGGGUAAAGGCCCACCAAGGCGACGAUCCGUAGCUGGUCUGAGAGGAUGAUCAGCCACACUGGAACUGAGACACGGUCCAGACUCCUACGGGAGGCAGCAGUGGGGAAUAUUGGACAAUGGGCGCGAGCCUGAUCCAGCCCUACCGCGUGGGUGAAGAAGGCCUUCGGGUUGUAAAGCCCUUUUGUUGGGAAAGAAAAGCAGCAGGUUAAUACCCCGCUGUUCUGACGGUACCCAAAGAAUAAGCACCGGCUAACUUCGUG
rnacentral:rRNA from 1 species